UACGUAGGGAGCAAGCGUUGUCCGGAUUUACUGGGUGUAAAGGGUGCGUAGGCGGACUGUCAAGUCAGCGGUAAAAUUUCGGGGCUCAACCUCGUCGUGCCGUUGAAACUGACACCCUUGAGUGAGUGAGAAGUAAGCGGAAUGCGUGGUGUAGCGGUGAAAUGCAUAGAUAUCACGCAGAACGCCGAUUGCGAAGGCAGCUUACCGGCGCUCAACUGACGCUGAGGCACGAAAGCGUGGGUAUCGAACAGG
rnacentral:rRNA from 1 species